AUGGAAGAGCUUGGUCUUUGGGAAGAGGACCUGGAUGAUGUUGUUUUCGAUGAGAAGGAGGCCCCGCCGGAGGCAGCUCGCUGGAUAGCGCUCGCAAGGGUUCACUCGGCCAAGACCUAUAGCCAGUUUUGGUUCUUCAGAAAUAUGCGAGCUGCAUGGGAUCUAGCCCAGGAGGUUCAGUUCAAGCCGCUGGAGGAAAAUUUGUAUACAGUCCAAUUCUCCUGCUUGGGAGAUUGGGAA
rnacentral:rRNA from 1 species